UCUUCUUCAACGUUUAGUCUUUUGACAUUGUUGAGACUGUAAAGUCAAUCAACAUCUUCUCUAUUCAUCAAAGUCCUCUUCAAUAGUGUAACACCCGAUAUAUCAAUCAACUCUUCAGUUUCCCACACUCACCAUAUAUAACUUUGUCACUGCUUUAUUUCUUGCCUUAUUCCACACACCAGCUAAACAAAUUUUUUAUUCUUCAUUCUGAUUUUUUAUUUUUCUUAUAUGCCUCACAUAUUUUGAAUUCUUCGUCUCCGGAUAACGCUGCCAACAGAUUCGUCUCUAUAGCUUCAAUCGAGGCGGAAGCCAGAGGCCGUAGAAUCUGGGGACGAGAGGCGCUGCGUAUAGUGAGUCCGGAGACAAAUCCUCCGCGAAGAUCGACGGAAUUGAAACCAGCAUGUACAGAUCAUAAACUGAAAUUCUCAGUUUCGUUGUCGAAUACAGAUAUCAAAGAGGAUUUAAAAAAAAAAGGUUGGGAGAGAAGACUUCCAGUGAGACCUAAGAAGAAACUGAAUGGAGCAAGUGAAGAAACAAGGGAGAAAGUUUGGUACAGUCGAUGAACUAAUCCAAGUGAUAACUCCAAAAGGCAGAGUUUGAGGUAUUGGACUUGGGUUAUUAUAAAAUGGAAAGUGGGAAAGAAGAGAGUAUGCAUACAUAUCCUUUGAGAUCUCUUGCUUCAUCUCUGGAAAGGGGUUUGUGCGUAUGAGUUAACCAAGAGUUCAAUUCAGCCAUAUUUUUACAGGUGAAAUCUCCUUUCUCUAUCACUCAAAGAGAGAUUGAAUAUCUCACGGACACCAUCCAGAAUGGUGGCACUGAAGUAAUGAGUCUUGAUCUGAUGUUUCAUUUGCUGAAGGACACGUAAUGAGUUUUUAUAAUCAUUGUUCUUCACUCCAUAUAAAUUUAACUGCAUAUGAACUGAUGCUGCAGUAACAAAGGAGAAUUUACGAACCGUAACAAACCAAUCAUUCAACUGCAUAUGAAGCGAUGCUGCAGUAAUGCUACGGUCACGACUGUUGGCAACGACCUUAGAUAUGAUAGAUCCAGCACAGUGACAUGACUGACGGUAGAAACCAAAAUCAGAGUUACGCUAAAGCAAAGGGAACAAGGAAGCAUAAAGUAAAAACAAAGUUGUGAUUGCCCUCAUUUCCUUGCCUCUUCUGUGAAAACUUAGAAAUACUUUUGCUUUGUGUUUGUUAGUGUCUGUAAAUCCACAUCUAUAUGUAAUUAUAGGAGGAAGACAUUGGCCAACAGAAUGUUUCAUUUCAAAGACGUGCAUACGGUAAAAGUAUAUAUUGUCAAAUGAGGGUUUACAUAUAUUGUCAAAUGAGGGUUUACAUGAGGAAUACAUUUAUAUAUGUAU